rnacentral:tRNA from 1 species
GCUCCUAUCGUCUAGCGGUCAGGACAUCGGCUUUUCAAGCCGGUAACCGGGGUUCGACUCCCCGUGGGAGCA